CAGACCCCCAAAGAGAUCCCUAUUCCCUUUAAUCUAUUUUCACCCCUUUAUUUUAGUCAGAAGACUUAACAGAGGCAAAAAAAUAAAAUAAAAAAUGGAGCCUUUUGUUCUUGAUGGAAUCAUUAAUAGGUUGCUUGAAGUUGGGGGAAACCAGGAUCAGCUUUCCGAGGCUGAAAUUAGGCAACUUUGCGUCACUCCGAGGGAAUUUUCCUGAAGCAGCCCAAUCUUCUAGAGCUUGAAGCUCCUAUCAAGAUUUGUAGUAAAUAUCCUUUUAUAAAACCCCAUUAUUUUUCUCCCAGCCAUAUUUAUAAUGUCAAUUGAAUUUUUCAUGUUAGGACAGUCAAAGCAGAUUGUCACGUCUAAGUGGAUUUGUUAUGUAUAUAUUGAUUGGAAUUUGAAUUGGUUAGUGAUCAAGGCUCAUGGGAAACUGCCAAAACUCUGUUCUUUAUGGGGAAUGUGAUGACAUUUUUUGACAUUGGUUUUGAGACGUGGAUAAAAGCGAUUAUGAAAUAAGCAGGCAGUUUGACAAUGCUGGUGCCAUGAUGACCAUGGAUGAGAAUCCACAAUGUUCUUUCCAAAUACUGAGACCUGCAGCGAAGAAGCCAAAAUUUGGUGUUGGGAGCACUGUUACAGCUAAGAGGGGCACCAUUCCAC